rnacentral:rRNA from 1 species
UACGUAGGUGGCGAGCGUUGUCCGGAUUUACUGGGCGUAAAGGGCGUGCAGGCGGUUUGCUAAGUCUAGGGUGAAAGCUCCCGGCUUAACUGGGAGAGGUCCUUGGAUACUGGCAGACUUGAGGAGGGUAGAGGAGAGUGGAAUUCCCGGUGUAGUGGUGAUAUGCGUAGAUAUCUGGAGGAACACCGGUGGCGAAGGCGGCAUCCUGGACCGGUAUUGACGCUGAGGCGCGAAAGCCAGGGGAGCAAACGGG